rnacentral:lncRNA from 1 species
AUUAACAUAUGUGUUAUAUAUAUAUCAUCAUGAUAGAUAAAUAUAUAUAUUUAUUUGCUAAUUAUGAGGAAUUGGCUCAUGUGACUAUGCAGGUGGAAGAGUUUCAGGAUCUGCAGUCUGCAAGCUGGAGCCCUAUGGGAAAGUAGAUGGUGCAAUUCAGUCUAAGUCCAAAGGCCUGAGAACCGGGGGGAGUCAGUGGUGUAAACCCGUGGGAGGGCAGGAGAAGUCAGAAUGAUAUGUCUCAGCUCAAGCAGUAAGGCAAGAAAAAUGGGACAAAUUCUUUCCUCUGCCUUUUAUUCUUUUGGACCCUCAGUGGAUUAGAUAAUGCACCCCCACCUUGAGGAGGGCAAUCUACUUCACUGACUCUACCAAUCCAAAUGCUAAUCUCACCCAGAAACACCCUCACAGACACGCCCACGACAAUGUUCCAUCUGGGUACCCAUGGCCCAUUUAAGUUGACACAUAUAAUGAAACAUCACACCCAACCUCCGGUAGUUUAUGCACAUGCAUGCCUUGAUCAGUACUGCUGAACACUCAACAAGGACUCUAUGCUGAUCUCUGGAGUUUUCUCCCUGUGCAGCUCUGUUCUGUGCACGCUAUCUGCCUUGUUGUCCUGGAAUCUCAGCUGUCUCUUCAACUCAGGGACUCUUUAGGGUUCUGCCUGAGUUCCACUUUUCUAUGCCAUAGCGUGGAGACAAUGUCAAGGCAACUGUGGAGUUCACCGUUUUCUCUCUCUCAGGAAUCACUGUCUUUUGUUGCCUAAUGUCUGGGGACUUAAAAACUGUUAUUUUGUAUAUUUUUUCUGUUUUUUUUUCUUGGCUGUCUCAGGCAUGAGAGUAAAUGUAUUUCCUGUUAUUCCAUUUUAUCUGGAAGGUGAAGUUAGCGUUUCUUUUUUGCAGAGAUUACUACCUCCCUGGCCCAUUGCGAGGCCUCCUUUGCAAUUAUGAUCCAUCACACUUGUGACCACAGUAUCUCCUUUUUUGUUUGUUGGUUCAGUGGGAUGAACAGCCUCAAAUUUAGGUCCCAAAUUCAAAAUAUUGAUCAAUUUCAAAUCCGUAUAAAUCAAAUUAUUUUAAAGUGCUAACUGUGCUGCAUAUCUUUUCAAGCCCGAAGACAAAGAAAAUGACUCACUGAGGAGCAGUAGAAGCAAUGACGAGGAUGAUGUCACACAUUUGCUUGGUGUCUACUCAGCACUUGUGCUUGACAUCUAUGAUCUCAUUUGGUUCUGAAUCCCCCAGAGUGGUGGGCACUAUUACCAUCUCCAUCUGAUGUAUGAGGAAACUGGGGACACCGUGUAUGGAAGGAUGACCGAAGAUUGGUUAAGACUAAACUCUCAGCUUUGCCGAAAGUAAGACAGCCCAUCAGGAAGGUGAAGAGCCUUGGACAACUGUGCCUCCAUCAGGGCCUUGGUGGAGUGAUUAAUCACCUUACGAAGGAAGACCUUGCCUAACACCAAUUUUCAGAUGAUAUCCCAACAUUCAUGAGAGGUGGAGGGGAGUGUUCCUCCAACUUGACCCAGCAAUCAUCCCAGAGCCCCUGAUGUCAUCACAGCAGCCUGGGCUUGCUCACCCGUGUUGUUGUGAGCCUCAGCGAUGAUGGUGCUGGGUCUGCAGAGUUCUGGCUGCAGGAUGGAGUUGGAAUAUUGUACUCAGUGGAACUGAGCUGGGGCUGAACAAAGGCAAAUCUUCUGCCCUGGGGAUUAGGCAUUCAUCUGUGCCAACUCUCUUAAAUAUUUACAGAUGUGGAUUCGUGACAAUAAAAUUUGUGUAGGUUAUAUUUAGAGAGAAAACGAAGAAACAUCUGAGGAACCCCUGCUGUGUGCCAUGUCCUGUGCUGGAUGCUUUCUCAAGGUACUUCAUCUCAUCUUCACAAGCUUCCUGGGGGCUAUUUUGGAUGCUCCAUUUUAUAGAUGAGGAAACUGAGGCCGAAAGAGAUUAUAUGACUUACCCAAGGCCAUGCAGGUCAAAGUUCUAAAUGAUACAGCCAGGACUCAGCCCUAGGUCUUCUACUCUAAGUCAGGUUUGCUGUGAGUCGUGAAGUGGGUUAAAAUGCAUGUGACAGAAUACCAACAAAAUAGGGUUGGUCAGGAGAUAGGCAGCCUACACUCUAGAAAGUCAGCAGGAACCAAGGUACCUUCUGACUGUCUCCUCUCCCAUCCUAAUCCUCAUCCUCAUCCUCACACACACAAGCUAGAGGCCACAUCUUGUCCAUAUUCCAAACAGAAAGAAAGGGAAGGGGAAAGUCCAAAAAUGGAUGUUCCAGCAAAGUCUGCCCCAGUAUGAGAUUUCUGCUAUUGCCAUAAUAGCUUACCAAAAAUGUAGUCACUUUGAACAAUGCAAAGUUAUUAUUUGAGAGUUCUUAAUGUCAGAAGUCUGACACCGAUCUCAUUGAGCUAAAUCAAUAGAACAAAGGGGCUGCCUUUCUUUCUAGAGGUCCUGGGGGAACAUCUGUUUCUUUGCCAUUUCUAGCUUCUAGAGCCACCUGCAUUCCUUGGCUCAUGGCUCCCAUCUCUCAUCAUCAUAGCCAGCAGUAGGGUGAGUCCUCACACUACAUUUUUCUGAGUGCUUCCAUCAUCACAUCUCUCUCUUUGAACAGAGCCAGAAAAGGUUCUCCACUUUUAAGAACACAUGUAACUAGUUGGGGCCACCUGCAUAAUUCAAGAAAACCUCCCUAUAUCAAGGUCUUUACCCUUAAUCACAUUUGCAAAGUCAUUUUUACCAUAUGAAGUAAUACAUUCUCAGGUUCUAGGCAUUAGGAUGUGGGUUGGGUGGCUGUUAUUCCAAUGGCCACAGCCCUCUUCUAAUAAAGUUUCCCUACAAGCUUCAUGUAAAAUGUCUUGGCCAUAAUAGAGUCGCCAAGUUAUUCCUGCAAGGGAAGCUGGGAAAAGUAAAUUGUUUACUUAACUGGGCACAUUGGCUUCACCAGCAGGGAAGACUGAAUAUUAGGUAAUCUACUUGCUAUUUCUCCUACACAGGCCUAGAGUUACACAAAACGUACUUGGGAGUUAACUUUCUUUUCUAACUCUCUGAAAAGGUUUGUCCUUGGCAACACAUCUCCUUCCCUUUCUUUGGCCCCCAAGUGAUACCUCAUGAUAGAUGUAUCCAUAUACUCACCUAUAAGUGUAUCUAUCUAUCUAUCCCUCUAUCUCUAUAUUUGCAUUAAGUAGACACAGAGAAAAUAUUUGUUGAAUAAAUGGAGAUUUGAUCUCCUAUAUCUCAUGUAUUUAGCCUGAAAAAAAUGCUAAGAUUCUCUUAAUUUCAUAGAACUGUGAUAUAGAUCUGUGAUACAGCAGAAGUAACCCUGCAGUCUAAAGAGAAGAUCUGAAUUCAGUUCUACCUUUGCUGUAUGCUAGCUUGGAUGACAAAAGGCAAAAUGUUUCACUGUCCUUAACUAUGACAUAUAAACAAUGUCUAUCCCAGAAGACAGUUUUAAAAUUAAAUAUACUAAAUGGUACAGAAAAUAUUUCUGAUUCCAGUAAUAUUUUGCUCUGUACAACUUAAAAAUUCUUACAAAGCUCUGUAAAUACUGUAUAAAAUAGAACAGACAUGUUUUAAAUGCAUAGGUGAGCUUUCAACAAGGAAGAAGAAAUCCUUGUGUGAUAGAAUCAAUAAGGCAGCUUAAAAACCAAAAAGGAAGCAUAGAAUGCUGUAGAUAGGUUUCACAUUUUUUCUUCUAAUGUUGAGACCACAUUUUUCUGGGAGUAGACCACUUAUAAGGAUUUAGGUGGGUUUCCCGCAGCAGAGAGCUCAUGUUCUGGGUCUGCUUGGCCAGCCAGAAUGCCCCACCCCAGCUGUCAAGCAUGGGGGAUUACAGAAAAUUCUAGGCCCCACAGGAGGCAGGUUUGAGUACUAGAACUGAGAAUUCUGUAUGAAUGGUAGACCAAAAAAGAACUGUACCUCUAGAAAAGAGUGGCUUAGUAAAGAAAUAUAGUCAUUAACUUAGAAAAUCAACCAGAAAACUUACCUAUCUCUGCUUGGACUCUGGGUAAGAGAAAAAGUUCAACACACAUAUUCAAAGCCAGAACUUGCAUUGCAUGGAUUUGUGGAGAUCAAAUUUGCAAUAACUGUGUCUUUCCAAAGCUCAUAAUCUAAAAAAACUAAUAUAAAAAUAGAUUCCAUGCCAGUUAUAGCCAAAAUCUCUAAGCAGGAGAAAAUCAUAGAACAGUUAUGUAGUAGAUCUUACAGGAGAAAAAUUUACAUGUCAAAGUUAUACCACAUUUAAGGAAAUAAUCCACAGUGAAUGAAAGACAGCAGAAACAAUAUAUAGCAUUAGAGUUCCCUAGGAAUAUUAGAACUGACAAAGACUGUAAAACUCAAUUAGUAUUUAAAAAGCAGAUUUGACACAAUUGAAGAGAGAAAUAAUAAACUGGAGGAUAGGGAACAGGAAAUUACUCAAAUGCAGUAUAAGAAGAUAAAGAAGUGAACAAAAGAUUAAGAAGCACCAAGGACAGAAUGAAUAAAUCUAACAUGUCUACUUGAAGAAAAGGGGAAUAGCAAAAAUGAAAGAGAAACAAUAUUCAAAGGGAUAAUUGUAAAAAUAAUGGAAAAUAUGAAUUUUUAGAUUCAAUAUUCAUAACAGAUCUUGGGACAAAUAAUUUAAAAUAUAUUCAUAUCUGGACAUGUAAUUGGGUCAAAAUUUGUAUAUUAUUUACUGUAUUUACUUUUAUUUAAUGUAAUUCUCAAGCAUUUUCUCAUAUGAUAAAAACAGUUGUCCCACAAUUUUAGUGUCUGUUCAAUAUUCUAAUGUCUCAUGAUUUAUUUACUCACUCACUGAUAUAUAAAUAUUUAUGGAUUUAUCCCUCAAACUAAUAUUUGUAGAGGUAACAUGAUGUUGCUCAUCACUGCAUAGAAAUCUUCAUACAUUCAAAAUUUACUUAGAAUUCUAAAAGCAGAACUAUUAAAUGAUAUAACCUUUUUACGGCUCUUAAAUUUUUUUUCAAACUUCUGGAUUAAUCUGACAAACACUACCUCAGGUGAUAUACAUCGAUAUCAACAGUGAUAAGUCAUUUUGACAGUAUGUGAUGAAUUGAUAUGAUAUGGUGUGAUGAGAAUGACCUGUUACCUACGUGGUUUUCCUCCCAAAUUCAUGUAACUACAAUAUAAUCAUUUCAGUUGAAGCACAUUAUUUAUACUAAAUACCUGACUUGUACUCCUCAAAAUGAUCAAAGUCAUCAAAACUAAGAGAGACGCAGUCUCAUUCUGUCACCCAGGCUGGAGUGCAGUGUGUCAUCUCUGCUUACUGCAACCUCUACCUCCUGGUUUCAAGCAAUUCUCCUGCCUCAGCCUCCCAAGAAGCUGGGAUUACAGGCACCUGCCACCACACCCUGCUAAUUUUAAAACUAAGAAAAUUCUGAUUAACAAUCACAGCCAAGAGAAGCCUAAGAAAACAUGACAGCUGCACAUAAUGUGCUAUCCUGAAUGGGAUCUUGGAAUAUAAAAAGAACAUUAUGUGAAAAUUAAGGAUAUCUGAACAAAGUAUGGGAUAGCUACUAUAAAGACACAUGCACACGUAUGUUUAUUGCAGCACCAUUUACAAUAGCAAAGACUUGGAACCAACCCAAAUGCCCAUCAGUGAUAGACUGGAUAAAGAAAAUGUGGUACAUAUACACCAUGGAAUACUAUGCAGCCAUAAAAAAGAAUGAGUUCAUGUCCUUUGCAGGGACAUGGAUGAAGCUGGAAACCAUCAUUCUCAACAAACUAACACAGGAACAGAAAACCAAACACUGCAUGUUCUCACUUAUAAGUGGGAAUUGAACAAUGAGAACACAUUAACACAGGUAGGGGAACAUCACACACCGGGGCCUGUUGAUGGGUGGGGAGCAAGGGGAGGGAUAGCGUUAGGACAAAUACCUAAUGUAGAUAACGGGUUGAUAGGUGCAACAAACCACCAUGGCACAUGUAUACCUAUGUAACAAACCUGCACGUUCUGCACAUGUAUCCAAGAACUUAAAGUAUAAUUUAAAAGAAUAAUAAUGUAUAGCUCAGUGUAAAGCCAUCUGGGCCUGGGCUUUCUUUGUGGGAAGAUUUUUAAUUACUAAUUUAAUAUUUUCCCUUGUUAUAGGUCUAUUAAGAUUGUCAACUUCUUCUUGAGUCAGUUUUUGCAGUUUGUGUCUUUCAGGAAAUUUGUUUAUUUCACUAAUGUUAUCUAAUUUGUUGGCAUACAAUUUUUUCAUGAUAUUCUUUUGUAAUUCAUUUUUAUUUCUAUAAGGUCAGUAGUAAUGUCCUCUUUUUUGUUUCUGAUUCUAUCAAUUUAAGUCUUCUCUUUUUAAAAAUUCUGAUCAAUCUAGCUAAAGUUUUGUCAAUUUUGUUGAUACUUUGAAAGAAUUAGGGUUUGGUUUCAUUUAUUUUCUCUAUUGUUUUUCUUUUCUGUAUUUUAUUAAUUUCCACUCUAAUUCUUAUUAUUUCCUCCUGAUAUGGUUUGGAUAGUUGUCCCCUGCAAAUCACGUGUUGAAAUGUGAUUGACAUUUCACAUGUGAAAUGACCCCCAGUGUUGGAGGUGGGACCUAGUGGGAGGUGUUUGGGCCAUGGGGUCAGAUCCCUCAUAAAUGGCUUGAUGCCCUCCCUGUGGUAAUGAGUUACCAGGAGAUCUGAUUGUUAAAAAGAGUCUGGGACCUCCCUCCUCUCUCUUGCUCUCUCUCAUCAUGGGAUGUGCCUACUUCCUCUUUGCUUCCUCCAUGAUUAUAAGCUUCCUGAGGCGCUCACCAGAAGCCAUGCUGGUGUCCUACUUCACAGCCUGCAGAACUGUGAGUCAAGUAAUUUUCUUAAAAAAUUACCCAUCCUCAGGUAUUCUGUAGAGCAAUGCAAAAUGGAUUAACACAACUGCCUUAUGCUUGCUUUAGGUUUAGCUUGCUCCUCUUUUUUCAGUGUCUUAAAAUGUAAGUUUAGGUUACUGAUUUGAUAACUUUUUUCUUAAUAUAGACAUUUGCAGCUCUAAGUUUCCCUGUGUUAUAUGAUACUGCUUUUACUGUGUCAUAUAACUUUUGAUAUGCUUUGCCUUCUUUUUCAUUCAUAUCAAAGUGUUUCCUAAUUUUUCUUUUUAUUUACUUUUUGACCCAUUGACUAUUAUAAUAGCGGUACUCCCCAAACUGAUCUACAGAUUCAAUUCAUUCCCAAUCAAAAUCCCAACAGCCUAUUUUGCAGAAAUAAUAAGCUAAUUCUUAAAUUCAUAUGGAACUGCAAGGAACCAGAACAGUCAAAACAAUCUUGAAAAAGGAGAAUAAAGUAGGAGAAGUCACACUUCCUGAUUUCCAAACUUACUACAAAUCAAGAGUAACUAAGACAAUGUGAUACUGGCACAACGAUAUACAUAUUUAUCAAUGCAAUGGAAUUGAGAGUAGAAAUAAACUCAGAUAUCUAUGGUCAACUAACUUUCAACAAAGGUCUUAAGACUAUCCCACGGGGGAGGAAUAGUCUUUUCAACAAAUGUUGUUGGGACAACUGAAUAUUCACAUGCAAAAUACAAUUUUUAAGAAUCUAUGAUUAAAGGUGGAAAAAAAUAUUGGGCUAGAGGUCAUAAGAUUUAAAGUUUAGCCUUGGCACUGCCAGUAAAUAAGAGUGUAACUUUGGAACAAUUAUUGUACCUCUUUAGGCCUCUAUGAGGGUUUUGGAGCAAGUAACAUGGCUGCUCAGGUCCUAUCCACAUCCAACCUCUUCUUAGCCUGUGAUGACUGUAUCUCAUGAGCUGUGAUGAUGUAGUGACAGAACAGGUGGCGCACCUUGGUCCAAAGCCAAGAAUACCAUUUUCACAUAUUCAGCACUUUGCCCCACCAUCUGAUGCUACUUGGCCUCCUUUGCCUGACCCUAGAUCCUAGAGCAUUCCUCCAGGGAUAGGCAUUUGAUAUGGUUAGACUUCGCGUCCCCCCCCAAACCUCAUCUUGAAUUGUAAUCCCCAGGUAUUUAGGGAGAGACCUGGUGGGAAGUGAUUGGAUUAUGGGGGCGGUUCCCCCAUGCUGUUCUUAUGAUAGUGAGUGAAUUCUCAGGAGAUAUGAUGGUUUUAGAAAUGCUAGUCUUUCCUGUGCUGACUCAUUCUCUCUCUUGCCACCCUGUGAAGAGGCGCCUUCCGCCAUGAUUAUAAGUUUCCUGAGGCAUCCCCAGCCAUGUGGAACUGUGAGUCAAUUAAACCACUUUCUUUAUAAAUUACCCAGUCUUGGGUAUUUCUUCAUAGUAGCAUGAGAAUGGACUAAUACAGCAUUUCAAAGUGUCUCCACAGUAACUACAUUGUAGUUUAUAACUUUGAGCAAUUCCCUCAUGUAGCCCUGUUAUGUGAUAGAAGGCUUUUAUUUACUUAUUUAUUUAUUUUUCCAGGCUGUAAGGCACAGAAUGAGCCUUGUUCAAGUGACUAUAAGGUGAAAAGUUUUAUGUGAAAAUAUUGGUACAUAUGGAGAAACACAGGGUGUGUGAUCAGCAGGGGAUCUGGUCUUCAGGGGAAGUCACAUACCUAUUCAGGAGCCCAUGGAAAGUCCUCACAGAGGGUGGUAGGCCUUGAAUCAGGCCCCUGUGUCUGGCUGGUGGCUCAGGUGUCAAGCCUAGUGUUGUAUCCAGGGUUGCACAGUUCCAUAGCACAAUGUGCAGCAACUCACCAGAAAAAUGCAUCUCAGAAGGGGGCCAAGGGCUUCACUAGACCUUGGAAUCCCAUGGAAUAUCAGAAUGAUGGUGACUCAUAAGAAUAGCCAUUCUGUUUUGAGUAGUCACUUUCCAAACACUAGUUCCAACACUCCCAUCCAUGCAGGAUAUAUGUUACUCUCCCUGUUUUCCAAAUGAAGAAAGAGAGGCUCAGAGAAGUCAAGUGACUUGCUUGGUCACAGCCAGUGGGUUUCACAGUCAGGCCUCUGCCCUGAUGUGUCUGACUUCAAUCCUGGAUAUUUUGCCCUGCACAGUCUAAUCUAUUCUACUCAGACCUUGAUUAUUUUGGACCCAGCAGAUGGUGUAAUAAUGUCUUGUUCUAAGUCAUGAUGCAGUGGAGUGAGUUGUUAUGGCCUGAGUUGUGCCCCCUUCCCCACAUUCUUAUGUUGAAGUACUAACCUGCAGUGUGACAGUAUUUGGAGAUAGGGCCUUUAAAGAGGUUAAUUAAGGUUAUAUGAGGUCAUAAGGUGGGGCUCUAACACAAUAGGACUGAUGUCCUUAUAAGAAAAGGAAAAGACAACAGGGCUGCAAAUGCACAGGGAGAAGGCCGCGAGAGGACACAGCAAGGAUGCGAUCAUCACAAGCCAAGGAGAGGCCUCAGGAGAAAACAGCCCUACUGAACCCUUGAUCUUGGACUUUCAGCCUCCAGGUUGAGCACCUGGAUUUCUGUGUUGUUUGUUUGUUUUGUUGUUGUUGUUGUUGUUGUUGUUGUUGUUGAGAUAGAGUUUCGCUCUUGUCACCCAGGCUGGAGUGCAAUGGCACGAUCUUGGCUCACUGCAGCCUCCGCCUCCUGGGUUCAAGUGAUUCUCCUGCCUUAGCCUCCUGAGUACUUGGAUUACAGGCGCCCACCACCAUGCCCAGGUAAUUUUUGUAUUUUCAGUAGAGAUGGGGUUUCACCAUAAUGGCCAGGCUGGUCUCAAACUCCUGACCUCAGGUGAUCCACCCGCUUUGGCCUCCCAAAGUGCUGGGAUUACAGGUGUAAGCCACUGUGCCUGGCCUGGAUUUCUGUUUUUUAAGACCCCUACUCUAUGAUAUUUUGUUAUGGCAGCCAGUUCUCAACACUGAGAGAGAGAGUCAGGGUCAAAGAUCUCUGCAGUCCCUUCCAAAAUCUAACGUUGUGUCAGUCGAGAAUGUUUGAACUUUUCAUCUGCUUAGAUCUCUGGACUACAUAAAACUCCUAAUUCCAACGUCUUGUUUAGAACCUAGCGGUUCAC